AUUGAACGCUGGCGACAUGCCUUACACAUGCAAGUCGAACGGCAGCACGGGUGCUUGCACCUGGUGGCGAGUGGCGAACGGGUGAGUAAUACAUCGGAACAUGUCCUGUAGUGGGGGAUAGCCCGGCGAAAGCCGGAUUAAUACCGCAUACGAUCUACGGAUGAAAGCGGGGGACCUUCGGGCCUCGCGCUAUAGGGUUGGCCGAUGGCUGAUUAGCUAGUUGGUGGGGUAAAGGCCUACCAAGGCGACGAUCAGUAGCUGGUCUGAGAGGACGACCAGUCACACUGGGACUGAGACACGGCCCAGACUCCUACGGGAGGCAGCAGUGGGGAAUUUUGGACAAUGGGCGAAAGCCUGAUCCAGCAAUGCCGCGUGUGUGAAGAAGGCCUUCGGGUUGUAAAGCACUUUUGUCCGGAAAGAAAUCCUUGGCCCUAAUACGGUCGGGGGAUGACGGUACCGGAAGAAUAAGCACCGGCUAACUACGUA
rnacentral:rRNA from 1 species